GUAAGAAACUGAAUCCUAUGGUUUGAAAGGCAGAUAGGGUUGAUUUUACAAAAAUGAAGACAUAAGACUUGUUCCACUAGUGGUUACCAAACAGCAUAAGGACAGAACAAUGUUUCUGCCUCAUGAUUAACAUGAAUACUUCUUGCUUGCUUGCUUCACUGCAGACAUACUACAUUCCAUGGCUGCAUAUUUAUGGUGUAGGUACUAUUGCCAGGUCUCUGAGUAUUUCCUGAAUUGCCAUACAGGUCACAAGAUAGGGAGAUAAAUCUCAGGGUGAGCACCACUAGAAAAAGAGGAAAUUUUCUUUUUGUUUUAUGUGAGGUGGAUUUGAAGCCUGGUCUUACAUCUCCAUCCAUUCCUACCUGGCACCAGGGUAAAGACUAUCAGAGCAUGUCAAAUCGUUUUACUUCCUAUGAGCAGGAUCCAGCAGUGUCAUUCCAUUGGUGGAAUUACUUCCUUUGAUAGCACCAAGAACAAAUAUUCUCAUUCUUGCUCACAAUUCUGUGUCUUCUCAAAACCUGCUUCAGAGCUAAUGCAAGUUUCUGAAGGUGAUACAAGACUCUAAAUGGUUGGGGUCCAUAUAUUUGUUGAUGCAACUUUUCUAGCAUGUACCAACCUGAUUUAGAGGAAGUAUAUCAUGCAAUAGCUAGAAGAGGAAAGUGAUGCAAAACCAGCAACAAGCAAAAUGAUCAGAUGCCAUGGGAAACACAUCCUGUACGGGACAGAAGCAACUCAUUGUCAACUAGACCAGCCUUUCCCAAGGUGACAUUCUCCAAAUGUGUGCGACUGCCAUUUCCAUCAUCUCUGACCCGCAUGCCCAAAGACUGGACCAACUUUGGUUGAACAGUCCAAGAAACUGUGGAGAGUACCAAGUUAGCAAAGACUUUGAUAGAUUAACAGAAUGCAAAUUAUGUGUGUCCUUGCAAGGUUUGUUUAGUAGGUUCUAUUAAUGGGCUUUUAAAUAAGAGCAUUAAAAUUUUUAUUUCGGGGCUUUUUUUGAUGAGGUGUUGCGUGAAGGGUCAAAUGAGUAAAGCAUUUGCAAAACUUCACAAGGUGAUAUCUUCUCCAUAUGUGCGCAAACAGCUCUGACCUGGCUAAACAGUGCUUUAAAAGGCUAGCUGCUUUGUCAGACUUUCAAACGCACUCCUCAAACUGGAUCCGACCACAUGCUUAAAAUUCCUGGCAAUGAAAAUAUAGAACUGAAAAAGAA